UCUACACCAAGCCUUUAGGUGGCAGUACAACUAAUUCGCACAAUGCGAAUUCCACACACAAGCCACAAAGAAGCCAUCUACCGCGGUCAACAACACCGACCUAUCUGAACAGAACCACGCGCUGUCUGUGUGGUUUCACUGUUACAAGUUUCUUGGCGACAUGGGGGAAAGUUCCUCACAUACCAACGGAAAAUGGGCUUCACAUACAUGCUGCUGUCUCAUAAUAUGGCGAAGACGAGUCACUUGAAGGCCUAACAGCUCUUAUGAGGAGCAGUCUUGCCAUAGAAGACUGAAAGAAUGAGCUGUAGAAACAACAGGGUGCCUGCUGCAGUAUGACGAGGACGCCCUGAUCAUAGAAGGUCCAGUGUCUUGGCAGGGUGAAAUGGCACUGAUAUCGUGUCCUGCAGGAUGCUGUGUCCUGCAAUCCUGUGUGCUGUGCUACAGACGCGUGUGGAGGUCAACCCGAAAUGGGCACAGUAGCGUGAAAGAGGAUCCUGGCAGGGAGACGGUAGUGUCCUGCAGGAUGGUGAUGGGCAAUCUUACAAGAGACCACAGAAAACUGAUAUAGUCUCCCAGAAGUGAGACUGAGUGCCUGUUGCAGUAUGACGAGGAAGCAGUGACCAGAGACCUUCAGUAGACCCUGCUGGCAUGAUUGGCGGCUGAAGAACAUAAUCAACAGCAAUGUUUAUAAUAUUGUACAUACCUGUAUAGUCUGCACUAAAAUGCUGUACCUGUACUAUUUUUCCUCUUACUUUCAUAUUUACUAUGAAUUGACAACUUUUACUCAAAUCCAUUUUUGUAUGUGCCCUGACUAAAACUAUCCUUAAACCUAACCUGUCAGAGGUGUAAUAACAACCUGCUCUUAGCAAUGUGGCAGCAGUCUACUUGGAUGCAGCGGGGAACAUAGAACCCUUUUUUUGAAAAAGCAUUGUAUGUUUCUGAGUUUUAUGAAUUGUGCCCUUCCCAAACCUAACCUGUCGUAGGGGCCUAUGAAAUCCGUUUUUUUUUAAUUAUUAUUAUUUACAUUUUUGAACUUA